rnacentral:lncRNA from 1 species
UGCACCUCACCUAACAGUUAUUGAUAACAUGUACACCGAUGCGUGGAUAACUCUUUGUCCAGAUGCUUCUCUAAGCAUAUUGCAGCGACUUGGUCUCUAAGUCAUGUAGGCUCAUCUAACAGUUAUUACUCACACUCCUUGUUAAGUCAGACCCACCAUUCAUAAGCAGGUGCAAAGCCAUUGUUGGGUCCCUCACCUAACAGUUAUUGGGUCUAACCCCAUCUUUAUCCUGGAAUAACUCUUUGCUAAUAAAGUGGUUGCGUAUUUUUGAUGCAACUGAACCACUGUGACCAGCCA